ensembl:lncRNA
CACACACACACACACCCCCGUUUAAUUGUAUCGCCCCCCCGCCGCCGCUUUUGUUUUACGUCGCUUAAUUUACUCAAAAAAAAAAAAAACCAAAAACAUUUCCAUUUUUCUCUUUUUUUUUUUUUGUCAUUUUAUUUCCCCGUUCUUUCAUCGUUCUUCCCGAUUUUUUCCCCACUUCUCCCCUUUUCCCCUCUUUUUUAUUCCCCUUUGCCCCAUUUUCCUAUUUUUCCCCUUCUCUUUUUCCCCCUUUCACCUCCCCACGCCCCCCUAAUGGAAGCAGAGGGCAGCAGGCAGGACACAGCGCAGCGCUGAGCUCCCCCCCAGCACACAGGUAGGACUUCGGGGUGGGAUGGGAACACAACAACCACCCCCAAUCACCCCACCUUUAUGGGGGGCUGUUCAUGUCCUUUGGGGCUCUGAACCCCCCCCACAUGCACACGUACAGCAGAGGCUGGGGGGCGUGCAGUGCUGUGCUGUGCAAUGCUGUGCUGUGCUGUGCAGUGCUGUGCUGUGCUGCCCGCACGUUUGCAGGCUGUUUGGAGCUAUAUUUAACGCGUGCAGUCAGCGCCUGGAUUUAGCAACGCGGCCAUAAAUCAGACAGACGCACGGACGGAGCUGGCACAGCUCUGCCCCAUUUCCUCAUCGCCGGCGCGGUGCUGGGGGCCCUUUCCCCCAUAUAAAACACCAAAGAGGGGAUGGAAGGCAAAAGGGGAUCUCUGACGCAGCCCUACAGACAGAGGGGGGUCCUCCACACCCCGCUCUUUGGGGGCAGCCCGGUGUGGGGGGCAGACGGGAUGUGGGAUUCCCAGCAGUGUGGGAUGGCGUUCUCCAUCAAUCCCAGCUGCGGGGUUCUGGGGCUGUUUGAUUCUCCUCUUUUUUUUUGUUUUGUUUUUUUUUUUUCCUCCCCUUUUACCCAAUAAAAAGCUUUUUUUUUUUCCUUUUCUUUUUUUCUAAGUGCAAAGUCAUGAGAAAAAGCACAGAACAGAUGCUGGCACGGGGAUGCUCUGAGCGGAUCGUGAGUCCCGGGGCUGUGAUUUGUGCCCGCCAGCCCUAACCAGAACUGGGCUGUGGGGCGAGCAGGAGGCAGCCAUGGCUUUUGGAGGGACAGAUGUGGUGGUUUAGCAGAGAAACGCAUGGGAAAUACCCCAAACCCACACCUCGCUGUGUGCGUCUAGCACAGCCUGUGUCCAGGCAGAGCUGUGAGAGGCAAUCCGCACCAGCACGGCGAGCUGAGCGCAGCUCCUUCUGUGUGCACACCAAACAUCAGAACACGGAAAACAUCCGUGGGGAAGGAACGGUGAGGAGAUGUGAACGGCUCAGGUUUGAAGGUCCCGAAGCAUCGACUCAAUGGGAGGCGCAGGGGGAGAAGUUGAGCGGUUCACCACAGAGCUGUGCGCCUUUGCUCCGUCCUUCUUAAAAUUCACCUCUCCUCUCUGCUUUGCGCAGCAGCCGGCGGAGCCCUGGGGAGCUGGAAAUGCAGAGCUGCAGGGGAUGGGGACAGGCGUGGGGUCCGGCUUUGUGCCGCACCGAGGGCCAUGUCCCCAAAAGAAGAGAUCCGAGCACUGACAGCACUGCUGCCCCGGGCUGUCCCUUCCCCUGCAGAUGUCCCUGUGUGGCUGUCAGUGCUGUGUGUGCACCCCAAACUUCGCCAUCUGAAAGCACGGGGAGCCCAUCUGCCUCCCCACGGUGCGGCUCACAAACGCUUCUUCUGACCCGAGCGAAAGGGAGAUGGGAAGCAAAACCUGUCCCCAAAAGUACCCCAAAGCAACAAGCACAGACCUGCCCACAGGGACGUGGGCUGCUGGGGCUGAACCCACAGCUGCCCCCAGCUCAGGUGUCACACAGGUGGGGACGGAGCAGCCAGCAAAGCAAUGUCCUCAGUGGGCAAGGCGGUGACCACAGGGGCUGCUUGCCCCGAGCUGAGCCCAUCCUUGGCAUCCCCGCAUCGCCUGAUGUAGGGCCACUGUGUCCAGAAGCCAAGUGCCAAGAAACCUUUGGGAAAAGCACACUGCAGGAGCAUUCCCCACACCCAGGAGGUCUUCUGGUUCCCUUAUCCCUAUGGGCACGCACCAAAGCACCACAGCAGCCCACGCUGGGUACCUAAAUGAUGCUAAAACAACACCUGUUGGGGCAGAAACCGUCUCGCCCCAAACCCCACAGGCCCCAUGGGCUGCAGGAGGGUCCCCACACCCACUGCAACCCCUCUGACCCCUGGCCGCCCCAUGGCUCUCCCAGGGCUGUUCGCCCCCCCUCCCCUCCCACAGACCCCCUCUGCACAGCCCCGCGGCACCCGCAGCUCCUCCAGCAGAGCCCCUGUGCCCAACAAAGCCUUCCAGCCAGCAGCGCCCAGCUCCUAAUUAUGAUUUCCUUCAAGACGAUCCCAGCAGCGAUAGACAAAACCGUCCCCUCUGGUCGGAGCUGGAAUGCCGUGUCCUAACGACAGCUUUUGUACCGCGCCUGUUGGAGGAAAGAGCGCAGCAGGAGGGGGGAAAGGGAGAUUUAAUUAUAGAGCCGCAUUGUGAUUUCGCACACAUAGCUGGCUGCUGUAAUCAGGUUACAAGUGUAGCUCAUUUUCCUCCCUCCCCUCCCUCUUCCUCCUCUUUUUCUUUCUUCUUUCCCCCUCUCCCUCUUUCCUCUCGGUGGUCCGAAGCGCUCCGUGAGAUCCGUGUGUCGCAGAGCCGCUCCGACAUUGGGCUGCACAGCACAUGGACCCACAUCCCAACACCCCCCUCCCCGCUGCCCCCCGGGUUCCCACAGCCCCGGCUGGAGAGGAGGAGUCCCUUUUCCCUCUCUUGGGGCGGGAGGAGGAAAACCAGAGGGGAAAACAUCUUUGGAGCACAACUUUGUGUGUUUUUCUAUCCAGGCAAAGCAAUGCUGCGCUCUGUUCGGGGCCGCUCUGAGGUUCAUUGAGGAACCUAUUGUUGUCCAUGUGAAUUCUUUUUUACAUUUCAAAUAACAGGAUUAUUUCCCCAGGGGGUAAUAUCCUGUAAUUUGAACACAAUAAUGGGAAUAAAUUACUUACUUAGAACUAAUAACGACAGCCUGAUUCCAAUAUAUAUAGGAACUGUAACAGCUUUGGUUAGUUAAAGUGUAAUUGUGUCGACGGAUGACAUUUUCUUUCAAAGGAAUCUGAAUGACUUUUAAUUAAAUUUGCUGAGGGUGGGGAGGGAGGGAGGGGGAGACGCCGGCAUCCCAGCGCCCCGAGCGUGGCACCGACGGAGGGGACCGCAUCCCCCAGGGUGCCGCUGCCGGCACCUGGCAUUGCCAGCGGGCAGCCCUGCUUGGUGCUGGGUGAUGCUCCACCUCGAGCACCAGUGACAUUCGGCCACUGGGAUGCAGGGAUGCUGCAGGGAGAGCGUGGUGUGUCCCCAUGUUGCUCCCCAUGCCCCGUGUCCCGUCCCCGUGGCACUUCUGCCCCGUGACAUCCCCACUGUCCCCAGCGGGUUCUGCUGCCGAUUGCUUUUUGUGUUUAUUUUCAGCCCUCGAAGUUCCCUUUGGAGAAGAAAGAAUUCACAAAAGCCAGCUUUCCACCCCGGCCCGCGGAGCGCCGAGUUCCUGCCCCGAAAUAUCUCGGCGAGGAGCGCUGCCAGCGGCUCCGUCCUCCUCCAGGACUCAUUUUCCUCUGUUUAUCUUGAAAAUAUUUCUGUGCUGAGGUCCCACCCAGCGGCACACAGCCCUGCACAGCCGCCUCCAGCCGACACACAGCCCUUGUUUAUGUGGAGCGGAGCCGACGGAGCGCAGGGCCGAUGCUGGAGGAGAGCCCCCCCAGCACAGAGCGUCCCGCCCCGCAGCUCCCCGCUCACCCACUGACACACAGAUGCCUCCAGUUGCUGGUUUGGGAGUUUCUCGUGGUUUAUGUGAUAAUAAUGGCAAAGAAUGCUGCGGUUGGAUCUCCUAGAGCUCUGCUGAGAGUUGGGCACAUCCUGGGGUGCAGCGAUGCUCCGUCUCUGGUCCACGGGUGUCUGCAACAACCGCCCUGCAGCGGGCACAGAGUUUUGCAAGAGGCCGUUGCAAAGGUUUCAGUGUGAAUGUGCUGGGCUUCGUGGCAGAGGGCUGGGAUGGGGACCUGGCUGUCCCCUCACCACCCCGCUGCAGGAUCUGACCCCGAUUUGGGGCGCCCACCCUGAGCAUCCCCUCCCCAAACCGCUCCCCCUUCCUGCAGCAUCACGCCGUGCAAACACCCUCAAUCACAGCAACGCUCAAAGCCCGGCCAGCAGGAUUGAGUUACCUGCCCUGGAAGAAUAAAGGAGGCAUUCAGCCAGAGCUUACGCCUUUCCCCCUGCCAAGGCCCGACACCACGGUGACGGUCACACGCAGAGGCACAGAAACACGAGCCCCGGUGACCCCGAUCUGCAUCCCCCCUCCUCCCACCCCACGGCACCGGGCAGAGCGCACGCUUUGCUUUGCUUGCCCGUCACGAGCUGCCUUAUCUUUUAAUAGAACCUUUAAGAGCAGAAGUCAGGCUACCCGGGCACAAAGGCGGCUAAAUCUCCUCCCGGGACAUUAAUCAUUUUUCUUUGACAUGUUUUGCUAAUUAGACGAAGCGUUUCCCUCGAUGGGGGGGGGGGGCUGGGAAAAAGAAAGAAAGAAGGGGGAGAGGUGGAAGAGAGGAAGGAGCAGGGCAGAGGGACCGACGUGUAACGCUGCUCCGUUCUUCGAGCACCAGCUUGCAGGGAGCAGACCCAGCCCACGUGGCUCCAACAUCAUCAGGACGUGGCGAUCACCGUCCCUGGAGGUGCCCCAGGCCGUGGUGGGCACUGGACAGCCUGAGCUGAAGGGGGCAGCCGGCCCAUGGCCACCCAUCUGUGCCUAUGGGUGCGUGAGCUGAGAUGCCCCACGGGGGGAAAACACAGAGGGUGAAGGUUUCUCCCCCCUGUGCAGCCACUGCUCGUGGAUGCAUGGAGCGUCCCCUGUGAUUUCUUAAAAUGCACCGUUUGUCUGGGAUUCCUGGCAAUGCCUGCUGCUGCACCCACAGACAUGGCCUGGCACCCCCACAGCCCACGGCUGAGGGCUCAUUUGGGGCUGUAGAAGGCAGCAGGAAGCCUCUGCCAUGGUGGCUUGUCAAUAGACCCUCUAACUGCAGGGACAGGGACAAGCUUGUCCCGGGCAGGACUGGCUCCUUUUUGCAAGAGUCCAACUCAGCUCCCCCAGGACCCGAUGGUUUUUUUUUGUGGGGAACAGAAUAACCCACAGUGAAAUCGCUAUGAGGACGCACUGAAACAAAAUCCCGACAAGAAACCGCUGCCUGCUCGUGCCCCCCGGCACUGCAGAGCAUUCGCUCCCAUCGCUUACCAGCAGCUCGAACCCAAACCCUCCAUGUGCAAACCUUUGGGGCAGCGCUAUGGGGCAGCGCUGCAGAAAUCAAUCACAGCGCCGCACUCCCUGGGCGCGCUCCUCAUUGCUGCGGGAUGACACACUCUGCCCCUCCCCCCCCCCCCACCCCCCUCCCGCCGCCCCCACCACCAAAACAAAGCGCUGUUUCUAAUUUGGGGUGUUUGGAAAUCAUUUUCCAUCCCGGCUUCCAAACGAAACCAAAAAAGACAUUUGCUUUCCAGAGCACCGCGGAGGGGUCAGAGCUCUGCGGGAGAGCGAAAAGCCGCGGGAAAAAACGAGUGCUGCACCCCCACACCCAUUUCCAAGAAAAAUAAAAUAAAUUACAAGAAGACAAUGCUGUUAAAUAUAGAGCAUAAAGCACAGCUCGGCACCAUUCAUCAUUCGGGGGGUGUUGUCGCCAACAUCUCCCCGGCGGAUCCUGUUGGCUGUUGCAUCCCCAGGGGACGCGUUGCGGGCGUGCUGAUGCUGGCCCGGGGAGCAGCAGAGGGGCGGUGGGAACCCCGCGGGUGCCUCCGCCGCUGUGUGAGAGCUGCUGGAAAAUCAUAGUCCUCUCCCGAGUUAAAUUCAGCCCUGGGAGCGCCGUCGGGCCGCGUCCCGGCGCGGUUUGUACAGCCAGAGUGGGGUGGAAAAAAGGAAAAGCCUUCAAGGUGAGGAAAGCGCUGUGGGAAGGUCGGCAUCCCAGGUGCUUUCGUGGGGAGAGUGAGGAGGAGCAUCCGGCACGCCGCAAAACAAGUGUUUUUCCAUAAGUUGCUGGUGGAAAGAGCAGAUCAGAGCAGGUAGCUGCGUCCUGCACGGCGGUCCCCAGCUCUGGGGUCUCUGAUAGGAGCCUCAUGGGUGGGGGAGGGUGCUUGGAGCAUCACCCCACUGCGAGGCUCCAUUCUGCCCAGGGUGAGGCAGGGAAACCAAACUGGGUUCGUGUCUGCAAGGCUUCAAUGGAGAACCCCAGACAUGAAAGGUCUCCAGGCCAUGGGGCGGCAUCCUGGUGGUGGUUGGACAUGGAGCUGUGUUGGACACGGAGCAGUGGUGGAGAUGGAGCAGUGGUGGAGAUGGAGCACUGUUGGCCAUGGAGCAGUGUUCAGUCCACAGCAUCGGGGCAGGAUUUCCCACCCUUCCCAGCUCAAUUCCUGUGAGCAUUUCUCACGGACACCCAACGUGUGCCAUCACUGGACUCACAACUUCUCCUCAUCUCCUCCCCACCUCCAUCUGCCCCCGAGGUGCUGCACAGAGCACUGGGAGGGCCCCGAGGAGGAAAAAAAAAAUAGAAAAUAAUCAGAACUGUUAAAAAAAAAAAAAAGCCACUGGAAACAAACAAACAGCUCUGAUUUAUCGCUCACGAGAAGAAAUGGUGCAUGUUGGAAGCAAGCACAGGAAGUCCUGGGGACAAUAAAUCCCGCACGGGAGCAGAGAACCAACACAGUUCCACGUUCGGGAACACAGCGAGGAUAUGGAGACAGCGGGAGGGUGAAGGGGGGGAAUUUGGGGUGGGACCCCAAAGCAGAGGGGUGCGGAGCUGGGAGCGCUCUCCCCAUCACCUCGAGUUUUGGGAUGGAGCCCAGGUGCCGGCAAAGGGAUCUGCCGGGACCCCCCGCUCUGAUGUGGCCGUGUGAGGACGGGGAGCAGCGGCUGAGUCCGUCCCGACCUCAUCACCCGCGGAACACCAGCAAUCCUGGCUGUGCUGUGGGUACAGAAACAGCACGUCCCCACUGCUGGCCGGGGCUCCUGGCAGCCCCAGGGAGGAUUUGGCUGCGCAGGAAUUUGGAAGCUGCCUGAAAUCCCGAAGAAAUGAGGGAAGGCUGAGGAGUGUCGCUGUGAUGGAGGCUCAGCCCCGCCACGGCAGCUUGCAGCACCCCACGCAUGGCGCCGGCAGCAAACUGGGAGCUGUGGCUGUGGGAUAUCAUCCCCUCUUCUAUGGGGACACCGCAGGGGCUCCCCAGGACCCCCUGACCCCAUUCCCCCCCCCCCCCCCAUGGCUGGGGGUCACAUUUGUUGCAUCCUUUGGGAUGAGGCAGAAAACACCACAGCACUCAGUGCCCCAUCUCCGUUUCAUUGUCCUCCCCGCACCCAAACGUGGUUUGUUUUUAGCCCGGGAAGGCGGUGGGGUGGGGGGGAGGGAUGAGGCUGAUUAUUAAAUGCCAUCGGCUCCAAUUAAUCCCCCAAAUUGACUCAGAGGUACCACGGCGCCCAUUCCGGUGAAUGUUUUGCCAUCUUUCAGUGCUGCUCUGCAGAUCCGACCCAUAGCAGCCAUGGACAGACCCAACGGAUCAGAUGUGAUCCCAAACGCGAUGGCAGUGAGCCCGGGCUAGGAAAGCAGAGAUCCCAAACCCACCCCGUUGGGCACAUCGUGCUGCACCAGCGCCGCUCUGCAGAAGGCAGCUGGAGGCUCUGCCCCUAUCCCAGCGCCGGCUGUGGGGGAUUUACCAGCACCAGCACGGCCCUUUGCUUUGCUUUCCGAACGAAAGUAAAGCGGAGCAGUUUGCAGAAGGUUCUCAUUAGGGAAACAUCUGGAGUCAGCCCUUCUCCCCCAAAGGGCAGCGGAGUGCUCGGAGGAAUCGGGGGAGGAGGAGGGAUGGAUGGCUGAGGCGUGUUUCGGCGUGCUGCCGGGGCAGGGACCCAAGGAAGGUCCCAGCAGCGCUCCCAGCAUCUGUCCCAGCGCCCGGGGGUGCCCGGAUCUGUCCGCUGGGAUGGAUGGGGCUGUAGUGACAUCUGCUGGGCUCUCACUGGGGAAGUCCCGCGGAACCCGCACGGCACGGACCCUCCGGCGCCGCACAGACCCGGAUGGCAGCGCUUCCCCUCGUCCUGGGAGAAACGACGGAUGUCUGACGGCCGCGGUGUGCCCCGACGUGCCGCCGUUGCUGCGAGGGCGUCGCUGUCCGUAUACGCAGGAUGCCGUGCUGCGCCUCAUUAUGCAAAUAGAAGCAAUUAGAGCUCACCCAGGCUCUGCCCACGUGAUGGUUUAUGGCACUCGCAGAAAUCCUUCCUGCUACAUGAGGAGAAUGACAACGGCCCCGGGCUGCAGCCAGCGCACCCCAACCGCGGGGAGCUGAUGGCGGUGCCUUUGGUGGAGCCCCACAUCAGGGACCGACCCCAUCACUGCUGCCCAGAAGCGCCCACGGGAGGGACUGCCCAGGAGGAGCCCCCCAACCCCCCAGGUGACAUCGUGGCACUGGGGACGGCUGCAGCCCUCAGCCCCGAGGACGGCACGUGGGGCUGCAGUGCCACGCGUGGCAUACAUCAGUGCAGCUCAGUCCGCCCAACCGGGGGCUGCCGUGGUUAUCCCACGGUCACCCAUUCCGAAAUAGAAUAUGGAAGGCAAACAUGUACAGAGUCGCCAGCCCACCUCACGCCGGACUUCCUCGGUGUAUUUUCAGUUCCUUGAGCAGGGAAGGGCUGUCCUGGGCCCAGUGCUCAUCGUGGCACAAGAGGCGUCCAUCAGUAGCGCAGGGUGCGGACACAGCGAGGACCGGAGCACAGAGAGCAGCCCCGUGGGGACACAGCAUUGGAGGCACUGGGACUACCUGAGGGCCACUGAUGGGUGAGAGAGUUGAUUUUAAAGUGGAGGAUCUCCAAUAAAGGCAGAGGAAUACAACCUCCAAUGGGCACAGGGGAAGGGCAGAACUCACCCAGCAAGGAGCCAGCAGGGCACGGCCUGCACAGCCAACGGUGGGGAGGGCUGGAAUCCCCUCCCGGGUUCGGGAUGCACUCGGUGUGCUUUUAAAGGGGCUCUGGUUGUGCUUCAAAACAGCCUGUCUGUAAUUGCCAAAAAAAUAAUUAAAAAAAAAAAAUAGACAAAACAACCCGCUACAAUGACUAAUUAGCUCGCUCCUGCCUCGUACCCUGUAAACAAAUGUAUUUGUAACCAAUUUGCAAGCACUUUGCAUAAGGGGCCCAGAACACUCAUGCCUGUUUGAUGCAUUUUGACAUUAAUUUGAUAAUAGCGGCUUAACAAGGAAUCCAGGCUCCCUAGCUAUAAAUAUGCUGCUUUUCCCCCUCCUUUUAUCUGCACAGUGAAAUAAUGUUGUUUUUCCCCCUGCUGCAAUAACCACCAUCCAACCCUUUCAUGAACACCCUUUAUGUCCUUUAGCAUUUGCAAGGCUUUUUUUUUUUCCUCCUCUCUCUUUUCUUCCCUCCUCCUGUAGAAAGCAGGAGGGUUUUACGAGCUGUCCUCUUCAUUCCUGGUUACGGAGGGGAUGGAGAGGACAGCGAUGGUGCUCCAAUAAUGCUGCUUAUGGGAGAGUGGCUCAGAAGCCCUUCCUCCAUCCACCUGUGCUCCCCACCUGUGGCAGGGAUGCAGCUCAUCCUCUUUUCCCCCUUCUCAGCACGCUGUGGAUCUCCAACUCCACGCAGCCCUUCGGUGCCACACCAGCAGCAAAUGGGAGCACAAUGAAAUGGGAAUGGGAUGCUGGGGACAGCAUUGGUGCCACCCAGAGCACAGGUCCCAGCCCCAGUGGGUGGCACCGCAGCAUCGCCAGAGCCACCGCGUGUCCCACAGACACCAAACCACAGCCACAGCCCAUCCCUGCCCCAGCAGCAACACUUCUCUCCUCCUGGUCCCUCCCAAAGCUUCCCAUCUAUGUGUAGAACCGCGGGAUGGUUGGGUUGGAAGGAACCUUAAAGACUGCGGAAUGGUUGGGUUGGAAAGGACCUCACAGCCCCUCAGCCUCAACCCUGCUGUGGGGCAGCGUGGAACAAUAAUGUGACUGAAUGGCUGCAGAGCUCUCACCCUGCUGUCUCCCGGCUCCCCUACGGCCCCCACCUGGGAACAGUCACAGCUCUGUGCCAGCAGAUGUGCCGCAGGGGCACAGCACAGCUCCAGGACGAGCUGCUCCAUCCCCAGCCCUCCUCUGGGAUUAUUAAUGCCCAAACAAUGCAGUGAGCCCCAGCGAUAAGCCAGAGCCCCAGCAGAGUACAUUCCUUCCUCAGCCUCCU